CCCCGCCCACUGAAGUCUAACUGGACCAAUGAGAUGGUUGGAGUGUCCAGUGCAGAGAUGUUGGAGGAAGUCAAAGCACAAUGAGCCGGAUGUUGAGGACGACUGUGCAGCAGAGAGGCUGCUGAGUGGUUUCAUUCUCCUGCAGUGGAAGAACAUUGUUCAUCUGUUUGGCUUCAACUACGAAGACUAAGACAUGUUGCUUCACCUCUUUGUGUUUCUCUCUCCCUUCAUAGCCAUGGGUUCCAUGGACAGCAUAACACCAGAAAGUACUGAAGAAGUAGUUUCAGAGGGAGGACACAUCAACCUGACCUGUAAAUAUGACGGAUCCAUCCUCAACAUCCAGUGGUACCGACAACAGCAGAGAUCCAGACCAGAGUUCCUGCUCCUCAUCACAGAGGAAGGAUCCAUUCAUCCAACUCUGUCUGAUUUCUCUGCUCACAUCAACCAGACUGAGAAACGAGUCAAACUGCAGAUCUCCUCUGCUGCAGUGACAGACUCUGCUGUGUACUACUGUGCUCUGCAGCCCACAGUGACAGGAAACUACACAACUCUGUACAAAAACCUGUGGAGCAAACACACAACUCCUCAUCACUUUGUGUGA